AGUAGUCCGUAUUCACCAACUUACUUAAACUAUUGGUUUAGUGACGUCGGGUUUAAAUCAAUCACGUGAGACUUUCGUUCGCCAAUCCUGGAUCACCACCCCAUGCUCUACCACCUGCUGCUGUGAAGCCUAUGGCGGCGCACAUAGCGAGCUUCCUGCACAGCGCAUGCGUAUUUCACCAGAGUCUGCCAGAAGCGAUGGUGGCCGGUAGGCCUAAUCCCCGGUUCACGAGGAAUUUUUCAUCAAAUCUUGGCAUGCCACAGCAGAACAGACCAAUAAAAAUAUGUUAUUCAGGGCUGCUUCUGCAAAACACAUUACACAGCAAUGUGCUAAAGGAGGCUGCAAACCUUUUUUGGAAUCAUCAUUACUAUUGCAGGUACAUAACCAUGACCAAUCACUGACAGCUUUUCUGCAUUGUAUAAGCACAUAUAUUCUGGAGAUCCUCUCUUGAAAAUUUCUGCUAUGGACUCAUUCAUCACAACAACUUUGUAUUCGUGAGCUUUUUGUUUAUAUUCAGACAAUAAAGGCUAUUACGUAGUUCCACAAGGAUGACUUUUUUCAUGGAAACGUGCACUCUGGAUAUCCUGCUCAAUUAGUUGUCAAGGUCACAUGAGAACAUAAGUGAGCAAUGGCGCACAAGGAAAAAAAAAUCCUUGCUACAUUCCACAUGCUGACUCCACCAAUAUAUCUGAGGUGUCGUACUGCAGUACGUUUGAAUUGCACAGGAAUAAAGGGCAAUGUGUACAGAAACUUUGAAGCUCUCUUGCUCCCAUUGAACUGCACUUAAAGUUGAAAAUUAGAUCAACUGCAAUUACUGCAUACAGCACCUUCCAGAUGAAUAUAACAAAACAUAGGCUACAGACUCAUCAAUAGAUAGUAUUGACAAUUAUAAUAGGAGUCAGCUGGUUCAUGCAACAUCAAAAUGGAAAUGUCGUUCCCCCAUACUGCAGCAUGAGCGCAUGGAUAAAUUGUACAUAGCCACAUGACAGUUGUCA